UUUCCGUUGGCGAUCUCGCAAGCCAGACUCUCUACUUUGGCUUCCCUCACAAACACUCUCUGCUGGAGUGUGUUUGGAAGGGAAGUGGAAGUAGAGACUCUGGCUUGCGAGGUUGCAUUUUCUA